rnacentral:rRNA from 1 species
UACGUAGGGUGCAAGCGUUAAUCGGAAUUACUGGGCGUAAAGCGUGCGCAGGCGGUUUUGUAAGUCUGUCGUGAAAGCCCCGGGCUCAACCUGGGAAUUGCGAUGGAGACUGCAAGGCUUGAAUCUGGCAGAGGGGGGUAGAAUUCCACGUGUAGCAGUGAAAUGCGUAGAGAUGUGGAGGAACACCGAUGGCGAAGGCAGCCCCCUGGGCUAGCACUGACGCUCAGGCACGAAAGCGUGGGGAGCAAACAGG